rnacentral:sRNA from 1 species
UGAUCGGGACCCCCGAUGUUUGGAAGCAGC